rnacentral:ncRNA from 3 species
UGUGGGAGCGAGCUUGCUCGCGAUGGCGGUCGUUCAGUUAGCAAUGAUGUUGACUGACACACCGCUAUCGCGAGCAAGCUCGCUCCCACA